CUUUUGCUGGCGACCGGCGCACGGGUGAGUAACACGUAUCCAACCUGCCCUUUACUCGGGGAUAGCCUUUCGAAAGAAAGAUUAAUACCCGAUAGCAUAAUGAUUCCGCAUGGUUUCAUUAUUAAAGGAUUCCGGUAAAGGAUGGGGAUGCGUUCCAUUAGGCUGUUGGUGAGGUAACGGCUCACCAAACCUUCGAUGGAUAGGGGUUCUGAGAGGAAGGUCCCCCACAUUGGAACUGAGACACGGUCCAA
rnacentral:rRNA from 1 species